AGUACUGCAACAAUAGAAAUAAUCAGUUUCAACUAUUCUACGUACUUGAAGACGAAGUGUGUCGGUGCAAAAUUUCUAUGAUUGAUCAAAAUAAAUAAAGAAGCUCUAGUUUGUCGCCCCCUUCCUUUCGACAAUGACCUAAUGCGGUAUAUGAAAAACGUUUCAUUUUCUCGUUAAUAUAAGAUGUUCGCUACCUACGCGUGUUGAUACGCAGUAAAUUGUAGGUGGAUUCUAUUUGGGGCUGAAUGCCUGAGAUGUGGCAUGUUAGCGGCCAGACCUCAGGAGUUCUUCUGCUCCACAUAUUUUCGUUGGAACACCUUGUAUACCUACGAAGUGACAUCGAAAUUUGCAGAUCAAAAAGGCGUUGGAAUUUUGUUCACCAGAAUUGGCCAUUUUUUCGCCCUCGCAACUUUGUAACUAUAAUAGGGAGAAGCGCUAAGAUAAAUCUUCAGGAGUUCGACACUAUCAUAUACUAAAGGCAAGCGUUUGGACGAAGAGGGCAUCAACUUCUCAGGUCAUUAGCCCUUUUUACUGGUUCUUGUUCUACUUAAACGUUUUCAGACUAGAAUCGUUUUUCCAUGUAAGAUGUAAGCGGAGACUUUCAGGUACUUCACAGUGUUCCUCAUUCCAUCAGGAUCCGUCAGGCACUUCUCCGUUCUUUGUUGAAGUUCGUACAUUACUCUUUUCAAAUAUCGCAAUUCAAUGAGACGGUCUUAUACUAUAAAUUGGUAACAAUAAAUGAGCCUGUUUAUUUAUAUAACAAAAUUCAAUUUAGUAAUAAUCCUAGAUUGGUUAAUUUAUUAUAUCCCCAAUUCAUAA